rfam:Aptenodytes forsteri contig70098, whole genome shotgun sequence.
GGCUCUAGCCAUGCUGGACUGAAUGCACCCAGAAAAAUCUAAUCUUGAAAGCUAAGCAAUCCCAGGCCUAGGCAGUACUUGGAGGACAGACCAUCUUUGAAUCCCAGGUGCUAUAGGCA